rnacentral:rRNA from 1 species
GCUCAGUAACACGUCAAUAAUCUGCCCUUAGGUCUGGGAAAACCUCGGGAAACUGAGGCUAAACCCGGAUAGGUGAAAGAGACUGGAAUGUUCUUUCGCCCAAAGGCGACGCCUAAGGAUGAGUUGGCGGCUGAUUAGGCAGUUGGCAGUGUAAAGCAACGGUAAAACAAGUUUUACCUGAAUGUAGAACUGACCGUUUUACAUGACUACCAAACCUAAGAUCAGUAGGGGCCUUGAGAGAGGGAGCCCCGAGAGGGGCACUGAGACACGUGCCCCAGCCCUACGGGGUGCAGCAGGCGCGGAAACUCUACAAUGUACGCAAGUACGAUAGGGGGAUCCCGAGUGCUUAUGCUUCUAGCAUAGGCUUUUGCUAAGUGUAAAAAGCUUGGCGAAUAAGUGGUGGGUAAGACGGGUGCCAGCCGCCGCGGUAACCCCCGCGCCACAAGUGGCAAUCGCGAUUAUUGGGUCUAAAGCGUUCGUAGCCGGUUCAGUAAGUCCUGGGUGAAAUCGUUUCGCUCAACGAAACGGCGUGCCUGGAAUACUACUGGACUCGAGACCGGAGAAGGGUUGGAGGUAUGCUGGGGGGAGCGGUAAAAUGUUAUAAUCCUCAGUGGACCACCUGUGGCGAGGGCGUNCAACUAGAACGGGUCUGACGGUGAGGGACGAAAGCUAGGGGA